UUCCAAGUCACGUUGUCCCAAAAAAAAAAAAAAUUCCAAAUCACAUCAAAAGACAGGUGCAAACAAUAAGGGAACUGGGGAGAACUCGAUUGAAAGUUUUGGACGAAGAAAUGUUAUAGAGCAAUUCAUCGGAAUCUGUACAGCGACGAGUGAUUACAACGCCGGCGGAAAUUUUCUGGUGGUUUCCUUAUCUCCAUUCUCGCGUACAAGCAUUGCUAAUUCGGCUACUCGUGUUCCACUUCCAUAGAAAGCAAGCUUCUACAGGCAAGGACUGCCGUGUAUUCGGCGAGAUGAGGAGCCUAAAGAAAUGCUCUGGUGAAGAUGUGGCGUAUCAUUUGCUAGUCACAGUAGUAGCAGCUGUAUUGUUGCAAGCAAUCGGAGCUUUUUCAGUUGCCACACCAAAUACUGGUUGCUAUGCUCUGGAUAACUCCAGCCACAUUCAUGAUUUUAGUAGUUGGAUUGGACAACCAUUUGAGUAUGAGGGGAAGGGGAAGGAUGCUGACUUGGUGGUUCGAUUUUGCAAAGAUGUUGAGUCUAGAUCGCAAGCGGGAUAUGUGGACUAUGGCAGAUUUGAUAAACUCAACUUCUUUCGUGCUGGGUCAGGACAUGUCAGCUUCAUUCAGGAAUAUUUUAAUGGUGACCUGAUGAACUGUGAGCAGAGUUAUGAUAAGAUGGGCCGAACAGCUAAGGUCAAUAUUAUAUGUGGAAACUGCCCUCAUGGACAAUGCAAAGGCGGACUUGGAUGCAUCUGCAAUGUUGAAUAUGAGUCUGCUUGUAGAACUGUCGUCGAACUUGCCGUUCCAUGUGAGAAACCAGGUCUGCGCGUCUUUCAAGGUUUCACUGUUGGUUUUCAUCCACGGUCAUGGGAAAUUGUUUACAAUGGCUUGACUCAAUUGGGCUAUGAAGAAGCUCACAAGGAAUUCAGCUUCAACACUGCACAAACUCGUGUAGCCCUUUAUAUGACCGCGAUUGCUUCGGUUUCGGGUUCUGUGCAGAAACCAUUAGUAAAGGUUUCUCCGGAGCAAGGAUUAAAGGUCACAUUAUCUGGUUCAGCAGCAACUGGGGGAUCACCAACAACUUUGUCACCAACAUCAUUACUGAUUGACUGGAGAUGUGAUGUUGCUCGUGAUAACCCAUAUGAAGUUGAGGUCACCAUUCCUAUAGAAAACUAUGAUCCUGUUCAGUUCACCCUCACAAAGAUGUGUGGAAUGAAAUUUUUGCAGAAUAUCAGCAAAGCGAAGGUGGAGGUGCUGCAGGAGGAUGGGCCAUAUUUGGAGUAUUAUCGUGCAUAGUAUUAGUUGCCUCAACACUAUUCUGCUGUGGAGGGUUCAUUUACAAGACACGGGUGUAUAAUCAGCGUGGGCUUGAUGCAUUGCCUGGAAUGACACUUUUAUCCGCAUGUUUGGAAACUGUAAGUGGGGUAGGCCAUGGCUAUUCACGACCAGAAGAUGUCAAUAAUCCAUUUGCAAAUCAAGCUUCAUGGGAGCGUCAACCUGCUUCUACUCAAGCAACAGGAAGAACUAGUGAAGUUAGGUACGGAUCAAUCUGAGUCCUGUUUGUUUCUAAAUGGAAGAGCCUUUCCACGUCCCAGGCCUAGUGUUCCAGGUUGUAAAAAUGUGCACAAGACGGGUCUGUCCUGGGAAGCAGCUGAUAUUUGGUGCUCUGCUUCUGCAUACAAAACGUUGCUUAAGCCUUCUCAUUUUUGUGGCAGUAAAGAUUGAGAAACCAUGAACUUUUUUUGAAAACUCUGAUAUAUCAGCAAUUUUGGUAUUAAUUCCCAUCCGUGAAGCAUAAUGUACAAUUGAACAUACUUGGAAAUGCUGGCCGAGUGGCCGUCAUGCUACCUGUAACAGCUUUUAUUUUAAGCUGCCAACAGAUUCCUCUCUGUACGUAUAGCUUUGGAAUUUUAUUAAUGAUUACUUUACUGGUGCUCACGCAGAUUAUUAGGGGGGAUCGGGAAUGCUGUGAACUUGAAAGAUUAUUAUUAAGUGGUAUGGUACUAUACUUAUGAAACA